GGUUAAAACCUUUGACUUGGCGGUAAAUACCAAUGAGGCAGAUGGUAGUGACCAAAGUAGUUGUUUGUUGUCCUUGUAAUGUCGAGUUUUACAGAUUGGAUUGUGCCUGUUUUUCCACUAUGAUGGAUAAUGAACCAUGAAAGACGUGUUCCUGCUUGGCAAUAAGUAAUUUCGUGUUUUGAGAGAAUGGAUGGGAAUCUGCGUUACGUACCUUAAGAGAGCAGCGUGUGAAGGAUCAAGGGACCAGCCAGCAAAUCUUAAGCAAAGAAAUGAGGCAGCUUUCCUUGUUGAAGAUGAUGACAGCGACAACAUUUUUGUGCAGGAAGUAGGUUCACAAUUGAGUCAGCUGGAAGGACAACAGCAAAGGUUGGAACAAUACUCAGAAAAUGCUAGAAAUGUUAACGACAGGCUAUGAGAGGAAAUACACACAUUUGAAGAUGUGUACCAGAGAGAAGUGGAGAUGAUGGACAUGGAAGAUGAUAUAGAAACAGUAGAACAGCAGGCAUUGUUUGCUACAUCCAGUAAACCUACUGUUCCACAUAGUCAAAGCAGUAUUUCUAAGAGCAAGAAUCGAGCGAAUGAUGGCAUUGCUGUAGAAACAGUGCUGCUCAGAGAUUGACUUUUCCCUAAUGUCUCGGGUACUGGUCUUGAAUUGACUACAGGCCGAAACCGAAGGCUAGAAAUUGUAGAAGUCGUUACGACUACCACAAAUUUGUGUAGAGGUGCAAGCCCAAGAAGAGAACCUGAGGUUAUAUCUCAUUUAGAUUAUUCGGAUGUCACUGAGUUUCUUCAUCCAGCCUGGUCUGAGUGAUAUAUGCCAUGAUGGUGAAUAAUUCCUAUAAACUGCAAAAGGAAAGCACAGGCAAGUUCCAGAUGCUGCUUGCAACUACAGGGAACUUGAAAGAUGAGAAUCGAGCAAAAGUUAGUUCCUUUUUUAGUAGGGGCUGUACUUCAACAAACAGACAACAUUCUGAAUUAUCCAAAGUGGAUUUUCAUGCUGCUGUUGAGAAACAUAGCGAGGAAGAGGCUAGAACAGCUCAGAUUUCACUGCGACAGGGUCAUGUGUGUUUAGGAAACUUUUUGACACGUUUGUUGAACCUGCAUUUGAAGACCACAGCCAUCCAUCCAUCCAUCCAUCCAUCCAUCCAUCUCUUCUGUUAGUAAUAUUGAGGAAAGAGUCUGGUGAUUGACAGGAAACCAUUUUUUUAUAUACGACAAAGAAAAGUCGCAAAACUAACUACAGCUGCUGUGUCCCCUGUGAAGAGGACAUACUUUCCCAAGACAAAAUUUGAUGGUUGGUAUCUAACCAUAAAGCUGUGUGAUGGAUCAGCAACAUUGGAAGUUCUGUUUCUCUCUAAUAUAUUUCUUCUUGAAGCAAGCUAUGUUGUAUAGUGUCACCAGGAAGAAGAGGCGGCCUCAGAAGUCACAAAAUGGUUCACUUUUGAACAAGAUUAUGUAAGUGAAAAAACCCAUUCAAGCAUAUAUUACAGAUGGAAGUAAUUAAGCUACAUCUAAAAUCAUGGAUUUUUCAAGUAUCACGUAAAUUCCACAUAAUUAAACUAUUAACAGUCAAGAGCUUUAGUUUGAUGUAAAUAUAUUUUACAUUAAAAAAAGCAUUGUAUGAGUUCAGUCAGAACUGAUUCUUGAGUGUACUGAAAGAAGAGGCUGCGUCAAGAGCACUACUCGAGGUCUGAGAUGUAUACAAAUUUUCCAAGAUCCCAGCAAUAUAUUGUCACUAUGCUGCAGAGAUACUUGCCAUCAUUUGAUUUAUUUCCAUCAGCUGUAGUUUUAAAAUGAAACUUCUCAAAGUUAAUUACUGUCAGUAUUUUAGUAUUUGUGGUGCCUCAAGACUAUACCUAAUGAAAUGAUAAUUACCUGUAUGUGAGACAGAAGAAGAUUAUAUACUUAUUAACAUGUGUAACAUAAGCUAAUGGAAUUUUAAAAGGCUGACAUAAACAUGAAUUUGAAAAUAUGUUGAACAUCAGGAUUUUGGAAACUGUAAUUCAUAUUGUGAUUCUUGAAGAGUUUGUUAAUUCAGAGAUAUUGACAUUCAGCAUGGUUUCCCAGUUGUGCUACCGUUAGUCAUUAGCAGAGUAUUCCUCAAUGAACUUUGAGAGUAGUAUACUAUGACCAUUACACAAUAUUACAUUCAUGUUAUGAAGCAUUUCCCACGAUAAUUUAUGUCAGUUCAUUUUCCAUAUGUUGCAAGCAUGGAGUGCUCAUAUUCAGGUAUAAAAAUAGCAAGGAAAGUUCUGGCAGAAAGCAAGACUUUUCGUGUCCAGCUGGCAUGUUGUAUGCACAUGUGUGUGCAUAUACUCUAAUUCAACAAAGCAUUUAUUUAAAAAACUAGCAGAUUUUCUCUGUCGUGUGUGUUUGUCGAUGACUCUUAGCUUCUGCUGUUUGUAUUCAGGUAUUACAUCUGCAUACAGAAAUGUACAUUAACAUAAUAUUCCUUCUACUGCAUUAUUUAAUACCACAACUAAUUUUGUGGCUAACCCUGCACCUUUGAAUGGCUGAACAUGUGUUGAUGCAGACAGUAUAAAUCCACAAUUGAUUAAAUUAAUUGUAAUUUUUAGCUCACUGAUUAGAUUGUCUCCAUUGUUAUCAUUAUGACAUAGUUUGCACAGUUUGUAAACAUAGUCUCAGAACCACAAAAUUUUAUGAUGUUACAUUUUUAUAAUGCUUUAGCUUUAUAUCACUCCUUAAGAACUGCAGUUCUGAAAUUUCAAUAUACUUCUGGAAUAUUUUCUUGGGAUUUCUGCUUUCUCAUUCUUUCAUUGUCUUUAUAGACAUUAAAAUAUGCCCAGUUCGCAUAUCCUUGAAGUGGCUGUUAUACGUAUCUAACUCCUGGUGUGCAGUAGAGUUAUAUUGCAUGAUAUAUCGGGUUCAUCUUAGGCUCUAAAUAUAAUGGAAUGUACAAUCAAAGAAUGGUUGUAGUCAAUAGUAGAAUGUGCAAUACAUUGUUCUGGGCGAAUAAGAACCAUGAACAAUUUAAACCUUAUUGAUUUUCUCUUGACCAAGUCUGUUUUUCAGAGACUGCUACUGGGUACAGUCUUUUUAAUGCUGAUCGACACUUCUGACAAGGGAACAUUCCCAGGCAUCAAUAAAUGAUGUUGAUGAAACUUAGCGGAUACGGACAUGAGGCGAAACAAUGCAAUACAUAUUUGGUUUUGUUUGUGCCCAAUUUCACUUUUUAAGAGGUAAAACACACCUCAAAAGCUAACGUGACAUAUUAGAGUAGGAGGGAAUGUCUUUAAAAGAAUGAUACAUAAAAAAUGUUUCUCUUAUAAAAGUUCAUAUGUAAUUAACAUUUAUGAAAACUGUGUAAUCGAAUUUUGUAAUUGUGUGAAAUUUUUCAUAAUAUCCCACAACCUGUAAUUAAUUUUGAAAAAUGAAAACUUUUGUUACAACAUAAAUUAAAGAAGCUUUCAAGGUACAUGCAUCCAUGUGUGAUAAAGCUGAUUUCUGAAAUAUCAUCUCUGAAAAAUAAGCUGUACAUAGUGUCCUGUCAGAGUAUUUUCAACAUACAUUAUUAAAAUAUCGAAACAUUCGUUAUUAGUCCAGUUAAUUAUUUUCUUUUGCUUUUAGUUUACCAUUUCACCCUUGUGUAUCCUGUUAACUGAAAAUAAUAAGUACUGUAUUAUUAUUAUUAUUAUUAUUAUUAUUAUUAUUAUUAUUAUUAUUAUUAUUAUUAUUAUUAUUAUGCAAAAUCAGGACAGUAAUAAUAAUCUAGAAAUAAAUGCUUACAAUAUAAUGUUUUCUUCACGAUGCACAUAAAAUGCAGAAUGCAAUUUCUCUAUGCAUGAUGGAGAACACAAUAUAAAAUAUAAUUCAGCAGGAUUUCAAAUUGUCGUGGAUGACCCUUGAAAUAUCCUGAUUUAUAUCAGGCAUAUUUCAGUGCAUUGCUAAGUCUUGGCAAAGAGAAUUGAUUAUUUACUUACUAGCGACUGCAGCUAGAUUAUAUUGUGACUUAAGUGGAAAUUGACAUCAUAAUCGGUCAGCAGAACUAGAUCUGAAGAUCUUCUUAGAAAGUUCUUCCAACAUCAAAAGUUGUAUACACCUCACGACUGUACCAAUUGCCGUCAAGCCCUUCGGGAUCACCAGAUGGAUGCACUCUAUGGUUCUUUCACAUUGAUAGCCCCAGGACUCUAACAAUAAUGUAAGUUUUUGUGCCUCACUGGGAAAGAAAACAUCUUUCAAAUAUCUUUUAAGCUGGUCAGACAUUUGUUCACUAGAUGCUGUCAGGCCCUUUGGGAUCACCAGAUGGACAAGUCCCUUGUCCUCAGUUAUGAUGCUCUCUAUGGCUGUUUCACGUUGACAACCCCAAGAAUCUCACAAUAAUACAGGGCCAAAAGCUACAUGUGAGUGUCGUUUUUUUCGUACCUGCUUGCAACUUGACAUGUCUUCUUUAAGGUACGUAGCAGUCAAAGAGAUUUUCGAAUUCCUAGUCCAAACUCACCAUUAGUAUAUUUUAAAACUAUAAAAUGGUGGAUAGUCAUUUUGGAAAAACCCUUUCAACCAUCACAUGCGAGGACCAGGAACCUGUUCAUCUGCUUUCGAUUUUGGAAGGAUUUUGAGAGAUUUUCAGAUUUAGUUCUGUUGAAUGAAUAUGAUGUCAGUCUCCACUUGAGAAACAAUAUAAUCAAGCUGUAAUCACUAGUACAUAAUCAAUUCCCUUCACCAAGGAUUAGCUACAUACUGAAAGAUGCCCGAUACAAAUCAGCAUAUUUAGAGGGUCACUCGCAACAAUUUGAAAUUCUGCUGAAUUGUGUUUUAUAUUGUGUUAUCCACUGUGUACAUUUCAUGGAGAAAUUUUGUUCAUUUUAUGUGCACGUUCUAAGAAAAUAUUAUGUUUUAAGCAUUUGUUUAUAGAUUAUCAUUAUUGUCAUGAAUUUGUAUUAUAAUAAUGCAUCACUUAUUAUUCUCAUUUAACAAAAUACAAAUGGGUGAAGUGGUAAGCCAUUGUUUCUUACAAUGUAUAUUUUGUGCAGCAGAGCCAAGAUUAUAGUCACAAUAAACGUUGGUUCCACUUCGCUACCCUGAUGUUGUGAGUCAAUAAUUUUUGCUCAAUUUAGGAAGAUAUUAGCUAUAGUCCCAGAUAUGCUGCAGCCCAUUGCUAUUUAUUUAUUUUCUGUCCAUAUAACAAAAAGUUUUUGGACACUGCCAGGAAAAUUUAGAUUACAUUACAGAUAUACAGUAAAAUAUUUACAUUCUUUCAUAACAACAUAUGGAUCAGACACAUGUCUGUACACAUUAUUUUCGAAAA